GUGGUCUAGUGGUUAGGAUUCGGCGC
rnacentral:piRNA from 6 species